rnacentral:rRNA from 1 species
CCCUUAGAUGUUCUGGGCCGCACGCGUGCUACACUGACCGGCGCAACAAGUUUCUUUCCUUGGCUCGAUAGGCCUGGGUAAUCUUUGAACGCCGGUCGUGAUGGGGAUAGAUCCUUGCAAUUUUUGAUCUUCAACGAGGAAUUCCUAGUAAAUGCGAGUCAUCAUCUCGCGUUGAUUACGUCCCUGCCCUUUGUACACACCGCCCGUCGCUCCUACCGAUUGAAUGGUCCGGUGAAGCGUUCGGACCGUGGCCUUUGGACGGUUCGCCGUCUGUUGGCUGCGGGAAGUUCGUUAAACCUUAUCAUUUAGAGGAAGGAGAAGUCGUAACA